UACGAAGGGGGCUAGCGUUGCUCGGAAUCACUGGGCGUAAAGGGUGCGUAGGCGGGUCUUUAAGUCAGGGGUGAAAUCCUGGAGCUCAACUCCAGAACUGCCUUUGAUACUGAAGAUCUUGAGUUCGGGAGAGGUGAGUGGAACUGCGAGUGUAGAGGUGAAAUUCGUAGAUAUUCGCAAGAACACCAGUGGCGAGGGCGGCUCACUGGCCCGAUACUGACGCUGAGGCAGGAAAGCGUGGGGAGCAAACAGGG
rnacentral:rRNA from 1 species